rnacentral:rRNA from 1 species
UACGUAGGGGGCAAGCGUUGUCCGGAUUCAUUGGGCGUAAAGAGCUCGUAGGCGGCUUGGCAAGUCGGGUGUGAAACCUCCAGGCUCAACCUGGAGACGCCACCCGAUACUGCCAUGGCUAGAGUCCGGUAGGGGACCACGGAAUUCCUGGUGUAGCGGUGAAAUGCGCAGAUAUCAGGAGGAACACCGGUGGCGAAGGCGGUGGUCUGGGCCGGCACUGACGCUGAGGAGCGAAAGCGUGGGGAGCAAACAGG